CCAUGCAAAAUUGAAUAGACACUUUCCAACUUUCAAUAAAAAAUCAUUUUUUUGUUCUGCUCUAUGCAUAGAAAACUCAAAAGCCAGGUUGAAAGUUCGAGGGACACAUGUUGUUGAAAAAUACAAAACAACCUCUCCCUUUCAAACACAACCAAAUAAAUUAAACCCUACAAAUGAAUAUUAUGCAUCAGAACAAACAAACCCAAAGUAAUUUUGAUCUUGUCUGUCUUAUACGUUCUUCUUCUUCUUUCUUUAAAAGAAGAAAAAAUCCCUUUUCUUUGAACCUUCCAUCUCCAAAAAAAAUCGAGCAUCAUAACAAUCAGAAGAAACUUUUGAUGAUGAGGGUGCGAAGAUGGUUGCCGCGCGAAGAAAUUCGUCGCAGGAGAGAUCUCGUCCGACUGUUGAUGGCGUCGGUGAACUCGGAGUUCAUGGCGGCGGUGGAGUGUGGGUUCGAGAUCGCGAACCCAUGGAAGCUGUCGAAUGUAUUGUCGGUGGCGGUGGUCCGGUUUAUGAAAGUUGUGUAUUGAAGGUUACAUGGCUAUUUGGAGUUAUUGUAUAGAUCAGUGAAGGUGAAUUCUGCAGAAUUUUGGAGAAGGAAUUUAUAUAUUGAAUUUGAGAGGAGAUUUGUGGGUCAUUUCAGUAGAGUUUCUGUACAAUUUUUCCUCCUCCCUUGAGUGUAGAUGAGCACAUGUAUUUAUAUAAGAAAAUUGGUGAAAAAAUAAGAGGGAAAUCAAUAAUUCAUCUUUAUAAAUAUGAAGAAAUAUAUUAUACAAUUCAAUUCACUACAAGAAAUCUGUUUGAAAUAAAAUUUUAUAUUUGUUUACUAUA